AGCUGCAUGACACACAGCAGCAAAAAAUCUUCACAACCAUCGGACAUUGCACACACACAAACCAUCAGCGACUCUUGCACUCUCUUUGUGUCGUCUUCAUCUUUAGUGAUUUGGAUGCCAGCACAGUGUUUAGUCGUUUUUAUCUUGCUCUAUGUAGUUUUGCAUGAAUUUUUCUAAUUUUUAUUGUGAUGUGUCUUUUUCUGAGGUGGGAAAUUUAUUUCCUACAGUUUUUUGACAAAAAAACAGCCCCAUGCUGAUAGCCUGAAGAAGCCAAUAAACAUUUGGCGAAACGCGUCGCUGGAUAGCAUAAAUGCUGUUUUUUCUUUCCUUUUUCUGACUGCGUACACCGAUUGAAAAAAUUCAACAAAUUACAACAGUCGUGAAAUAUUCUACAAUUAAAAUUACCUUUAAAAGAAAUUAAAUUACAAAAUUGAGGUAA